CCUGGCUCAGGAUGAACGCUAGCUACAGGCUUAACACAUGGCAAGUCGAGGGGCAGCACAGUGUAGCAAUACAUGGGUGGCGACCGGCGCACGGGUGCGUAACGCGUAUCCAACCUUCCCGUUACUCUUGGAUAGCCUUCCGAAAGGGAGAUUAAUACCCCCAUGGUGAUGUAGGGAGGCAUCUCCCUGCAUCUAAAGAAUUUCGGAAACGGAUAGGCUCGCGUGACAUUAGCUAGAUGGCGGGGUAACGGCCCACCAUGGCGACGAUGUCUAGGGGUUCUGAGAGGAAGGUCCCCCACACUGGAACUGAGACACGGUCCAGACUCCUACGGGAGGCAGCAGUGAGGAAUAUUGGUCAAUGGUCGGAAGACUGAACCAGCCAUGCCGCGUGAAGGUGACGGCCCUAUGGGUCUUAAACUUCUUUUGUAAGGGAGCAAUAAGGUUUACGUGUAGGCCGAUGAGAGUACCUUACGAAUAAGCAUCGGCUAACUCCGUG
rnacentral:rRNA from 1 species